GGGGCAACGAGCGACACGCGCUGCAAUGUAAGGGAGACGUUUCUGAUGCAGCCCCAGACAAUGUUUUUGUUGUUGUCUCCGCCAGCCCCUUCGUUUUCGCAAAAGUGAGUUCUCGCUAUUUUGCGAGUGCUUUUGUCUCUCAGCUUCACUAGUCUAGUGCAAUAGAUUCUUUCUGCACUUUUGCAUGCGUGUUGCGUCUCCUAAUGACUUCGCCAAGUUGUGUCUCGCAUUAUUGGCUUAAUAUCGUCUCGUAUUUUGGUGACCUAACCCCGUCCGGAUGGCAUAGGCAACUUUUCUGUCUGUAUGUUAUUGCUCUUGCCUAAAGUGCUGCCUCGUCUUUUUGUACAGGUAUGAAAGGAGCAUUCUGUUAUCACCGAGGAGGAAAGUUUGCAGGGGAGCCAUGCUGAGAACAACCACUUUUCAUUCAACAACUGGAUGUAGUUGGGCGGCAACAGCAUGGACAAGACGGAAAGUCAAGUGCGUUGAUCAUCAGCUUUAGAAGAUGUGGACUAUUAAGUUUUACAUCAAGGUGAAAAGGCUGUGUCGCCAUCACUGCAGCCCUGCUUGGUGAAAGAACAUUGUUUCCAGACUACAGCAGCUUCUGCAAGCUAAAACAUCUCGUGUCCUGGAAGCUGUUUACAUCCGAAUACUGGACCUUCACAACUCGGGAUCAUCUUUAACUGAGAGACCCCAUUCAAGACGGCUGUGACUCAUUGCUUUCGUUUCAUGAAUUUUAAAUUUAGUAAUAUAAUUCCUACUAACUUUUAAUGUAUGGCAUUGUUUAUUUCCAAAUAUACUGCUAAAGGAAUACUCGAAAGGUAGAUUUGAAUGCUUUCAAUGAUGUCAAGUUUCAAUUAUAUUUUCCCUGCAUCCAUCAAAUCUCAGAACUUGUAGGGCAGCGGUAGCAAUUGGUUCUUACUUGAGGGCAAGGAUCAGGAAACAUGAAAACCAGCCUCAGCAGUCUAGAGACUGUAAGAAACAAAUCAUCAACAUUCAGACCAAACCAGGGGGAACAAUUCAUGGAUAGCACUACAAGGUAAGUGUGUGAAGAGUGAAUGCUAGAACUGAUCCAGGUAUAAAUACUUCUGGAAUGUUCUAGAGUCCUAAAGGCCUUAAGGACUUUAGCCCACAAGAAUCUUUUCAUACAUUUUGUAAUUUUCUUUGAUAGUUCACUUUUUAAGUGGAAGAUGCAUGAAGCCGAGAUAUUAUCUUAAAUUAAAUUGAGCUGAUUUUGUACGAUGAAUGAGCGCAUUCUCCUUUGCUUGUAAAAUGGAGCCUGGGCUUUCAUUACGCUUGAAAUUGAGCGUACUAACUUUACGCUUGAAGCAGGUCGUAAGAAUUUCUGACCUGGCUUGAGUACGCUUGGCUUCAAGCGU